rnacentral:rRNA from 1 species
CGUAGGGUGACCUGCGGAGGGAUCAUUA